rnacentral:rRNA from 1 species
AACCAGCACCUCAAGUGGUCAGGAUGAUUAUUGGGCCUAAAGCAUCCGUAGCCGGCUCUGUAAGUUUUCGGUUAAAUCUGUACGCUCAACGUACAGGCUGCCGGGAAUACUGCAGAGCUAGGGAGUGGGGGAGGUAGACGGUACUCGGUAGGAAGGGGUAAAAUCCUUUGAUCUAUUGAUGACCACCUGUGGCGAAGGCGGUCUACCAGAACACGUCCGACGGUGAGGGAUGAAAGCUGGGGGAGCAAACCGG